UACGUAGGGGGCAAGCGUUGUCCGGAAUCAUUGGGCGUAAAGGGCGCGUAGGCGGCCUGGACAGUCGGGCGUGAAAUUCCUGGGCUCAACCCGGGGGCUGCGUUCGAGACGUUUUGGGCUGGAGUGGGGAAGAGGGUCGUGGAAUUCCCGAGUGUAGAGGUGAAAUUCGUAGAUAUUGGGAAGAACACCGGUGGCGAAGGCGGCGACCUGGUCCUUGACUGACGCUGAGGCGCGAAAGCGUGGGGAGCAAACAGG
rnacentral:rRNA from 1 species